UACGAAGGGGGCUAGCGUUGCUCGGAAUCACUGGGCGUAAAGCGCACGUAGGCGGGUCGUUAAGUCGGGGGUGAAAUCCCACGGCUCAACCGUGGAAGUGCACUCGAAACUGGAUGGCUAGAGUCCUGGAGAGGAAGGUGGAAUGCUUGGUGUAGAGGUGAAAUUCGUAGAUAUCAAGCGGAACACCGGUGGCGAAGGCGGCCUUCUGGACAGUGACUGACGCUGAGACGCGAAAGCGUGGGGAGCAAACAGG
rnacentral:rRNA from 1 species